GGAUAACCUGCCCUUGGGUCCGGGNAAACCCCGGGNAANNGGGGAUAUUCCGGNANANGGCCCAAANGNUGNAANNCUUNAGGGGUCAAAUGNAUUNGUNUGCCAAGGAUGGUUUNCGCCCNAUCAGGUAGAAGGGGGGGNAAUGNCCNANAACCNACAACGGGUACGGNUUGUAAAGCAAAAGCCNGAAAAUGNAUUUUGAGACAUAAUCCAGGCCCUACGGGGCGCAGCAGGCGCGAAACUUUACAAUGCGGGAACCCGUGAUAAGGGGACACCGAGUGCCAGCAUCAUAUGCUGGCUGUCCGGGUGUGUAAAAUACACCUGUCAGCAAGGGCCGGGCAAGACCGGUGCCAGCCGCCGCGGUAACACCGGCGGCCCGAGUGGUGAUCGUGAUUAUUGGGUCUAAAGGGUCCGUAGCCGGUUUGGUCAGUCCUCCGGGAAAUCUGACGGCUUAACCGUUAGGCUUUCGGGGGAUACUGCCAGGCUUGGAACCGGGAGAGGUAAGAGGUACUACAGGGGUAGGAGUGAAAUCUUGUAAUCCCUGUGGGACCACCGGUGGCGAAGGCGUCUUACCAGAACGGGUUCGACGGUGAGGGACGAAAGCUGGGGGCACGAACCGGAUUAGAUACCCGGGUAGUCCCAGCCGUAAACGAUGCUCGCUAGGUGUCAGGCAUGGCGCGACCGUGUCUGGUGCCGCAGGGAAGCCGUGAAGCGAGCCACCUGGGAAGUACGGCCGCAAGGCUGAAACUUAA
rnacentral:rRNA from 1 species